CCUACGGGAGGCAGCAGUGGGGAAUAUUGCACAAUGGGCGCAAGCCUGAUGCAGCCAUGCCGCGUGUGUGAAGAAGGCCUUCGGGUUGUAAAGCACUUUCAGCGGGGAGGAAGGCGUUAAGGUUAAUAACCUUGGCGAUUGACGUUACCCGCAGAAGAAGCACCGGCUAACUCCGUGCCAGCAGCCGCGGUAAUACGGAGGGUGCAAGCGUUAAUCGGAAUUACUGGGCGUGAAGCGCACGCAGGCGGUCUGUCAAGUCGGAUGUGAAAUCCCCGGGCUCAACCUGGGAACUGCAUUCGAAACUGGCAGGCUAGAGUCUUGUAGAGGGGGGUAGAAUUCCAGGUGUAGCGGUGAAAUGCGUAGAGAUCUGGAGGAAUACCGGUGGCGAAGGCGGCCCCCUGGACAAAGACUGACGCUCAGGUGCGAAAGCGUGGGGAGCAAACAGGAUUAGAUACCCGAGUAGUC
rnacentral:rRNA from 1 species